rnacentral:rRNA from 1 species
AGCGAACGCUGGCGGCAGGCCUAACACAUGCAAGUCGAACGAACUCUUCGGAGUUAGUGGCGGACGGGUGCGUAACACGUGGGAACGUGCCUUUUGGUUCGGAAUAACUCAGGGAAACUUGUGCUAAUACCGAAUGUGCCCUUCGGGGGAAAGAUUUAUCGCCAUUAGAGCGGCCCGCGUCUGAUUAGCUAGUUGGUGAGGUAACGGCUCACCAAGGCGACGAUCAGUAGCUGGUCUGAGAGGAUGACCAGCCACACUGGGACUGAGACACGGCCCAGACUCCUACGGGAGGCAGCAGUGGGGAAUCUUGCGCAAUGGGCGAAAGCCUGACGCAGCCAUGCCGCGUGAAUGAUGAAGGUCUUAGGAUUGUAAAAUUCUUUCACCGGGGACGAUAAUGACGGUACCCGGAGAAGAAGCCCCGGCUAACUUCGUG